AAUAGAUACCCGGGUAGUCCACGCCGUAAACGAUGAGUGCUAAGUGUUAGAGGGUUUCCGCCCUUUAGUGCUGAAGUUAACGCAUUAAGCACUCCGCCUGGGGAGUACGGUCGCAAGACUGAAACUCAAAGGAAUUGACGGGGGCCCGCACAAGCGGUGGAGCAUGUGGUUUAAUUCGAAGCAACGCGAAGAACCUUACCAGGUCUUGACACCCUCUGACAACCCUAGAGAUAGGGCUUUCUCUUCGGGGACAGAGUGACAGGUGGUGCAUGGUUGUCGUCAGCUCGUGUCGUGAGAUGUUGGGUUAAGUCCCGCAACGAGCGCAACCCUUGAUCUUAGUUGCCAGCAUUCAGUUGGGCACUCUAAGGUGACUGCCGGUGACAAACCGGAGGAAGGUGGGGAUGACGUCAAAUCAUCAUGCCCCUUAUGACCUGGGCUACACACGUGCUACAAUGGGCAGAACAAAGGGCAGCGAAGCCGCGAGGCUAAGCCAAUCCCACAAAUCUGUUCUCAGUUCGGAUCGCAGU
rnacentral:rRNA from 1 species